CCUANGGGUGGCAGCAGUUGGGAAUAUUGCACAAUGGACGACAGUCUGAUGCAGCGACGCCGCGUGAAGGAAGAAGGCUUUCGGGUUGUAAACUUCUUUUUUAGGGGACGAUUGUGACGGUACCCUAAGAAUAAGGACCUGCUAACUACGUGCCAGCAGCAGCGGUAAUACGUAGGGUCCGAGCGUUGUCCGGAUUUAUUGGGCGUAAAGAGUAUGUAGGUGGGUUGGUAUGUCGGGUUUUAAAUCUCCAGGCUUAACCUGGAUUUUGGAUCCGAAACUACUAAUCUUAGAGGAUAGCAGGGGCAAGCGGAAUUAGCGGAGUAGCAGUGAAAUGCGUUGAUCUCGCUAAGAACACCGAUGGCGAAGGCAGCUUGCUAGGCUAUCACUGACACUGAGAUACGAAAGCGUGGGGAGCGAACGGGAUUAGAUACCCCUNUANUC
rnacentral:rRNA from 1 species